rnacentral:rRNA from 1 species
GGGUUGUGAGGUUAAGCGACUAAGCGUACACGGUGGAUGCCUAGGCAAUCAGAGGCGAUGAAGGACGUGCUAAUCUGCGAAAAGCGUCGGUAAGGUGAUAUGAACCGCUAUACCCGACGAUAUCCGAAUGGGGAAACCCAGUANNAUCGUUAACUGAAUACAUAGGUUAACGAGGCGAACCGGGGGAACUGAAACAUCUAAGUACCCCGAGGAAAAGAAAUCAACCGAGAUUCCCCCAGUAGCGGCGAGCGAACGGGGAGCAGCCCAGAGUCUUAAUCAAUAGCAGUGUCAGGAGAACGGUCUGGAAAGUCCGGCAGUAAAGGGUGAUAGCCCCGUAUCUGAAGAUGCUGUUAUUGUGAACUCGACGAGUAGGGCGGGACACGUGUUAUCC